rnacentral:rRNA from 1 species
UACGGAGGGUGCAAGCGUUGCUCGGAAUUAUUGGGCGUAAAGGGUAGGUAGGUGGUCUCGUUUGUCUGGGGUGAAAUCCUUGGGCUUAACCCAAGAAGUGCCUCAGAAACGGCGAGACUUGAGUCCUGGAGAGGGUCGUGGAAUUCCCGGUGUAGCGGUGAAAUGCGUAGAGAUCGGGAGGAACACCAGCGGCGAAAGCGGCGACCUGGACAGGUACUGACACUCAACUACGAAAGCGUGGGGAGCAAACAGG